GGUCUGGUGGCGAGUGGCGAACGGGUGAGUAAUGUAUCGGAACGUGCCUAGUAGCGGGGGAUAACUACGCGAAAGCGUAGCUAAUACCGCAUACGCCCUACGGGGGAAAGCAGGGGAUCGCAAGACCUUGCACUAUUAGAGCGGCCGAUAUCGGAUUAGCUAGUUGGUGGGGUAAUGGCUCACCAAGGCGACGAUCCGUAGCUGGUUUGAGAGGACGACCAGCCACACUGGGACUGAGACACGGCCCAGACUCCUACGGGAGGCAGCAGUGGGGAAUUUUGGACAAUGGGGGAAACCCUGAUCCAGCCAUCCCGCGUGUGCGAUGAAGGCCUUCGGGUUGUAAAGCACUUUUGGCAGGAAAGAAACGUCAUGGGUUAAUACCCCGUGAAACUGACGGUACCUGCAGAAUAAGCACCGGCUAACUACGUGCCAGCAGCCGCGGUAAUACGUAGGGUGCAAGCGUUAAUCGGAAUUACUGGGCGUAAAGCGUGCGCAGGCGGUUCGGAAAGAAAGAUGUGAAAUCCCAGAGCUUAACUUUGGAACUGCAUUUUUAACUACCGAGCUAGAGUGUGUCAGAGGGAGGUGGAAUUCCGCGUGUAGCAGUGAAAUGCGUAGAUAUGCGGAGGAACACCGAUGGCGAAGGCAGCCUCCUGGGAUAACACUGACGCUCAUGCACGA
rnacentral:rRNA from 1 species